rnacentral:rRNA from 1 species
CCUACGGGUGGCAGCAGUGAGGAAUAUUGGUCAAUGGACGGGAGUCUGAACCAGCCAAGCCGCGUGCGGGAAGAAGGUACUGUGUAUUGUAAACUUCUUUUGUCAGGGAAUAAAGGCAGGUACGCGUCCCCGUCUGAGGGUAUCUUACGAAUAAGGAUCGGCUAACUCCGUGCCAGCAGCCGCGGUAAUACGGAGGAUUCCAGCGUUAUCCGGAUUUAUUGGGGUUAAAGGGUGCGUAGGCGGGCUGGUAAGUUAGGGGUGAAAGCCCGGGGCCCAACAUCGGAGUGGCCGUUGAUACUGUUAGGCUGGAGUGGAGGAGAGGUAGGCGGAAUGUAUGGUGUAGCGGUGAAAUGCUUAGAGAUCGCACAGAACACCGAUUGCGAAGGCAGCUUACCAGGUCAACACUGACGCUGAGGCACGAAAGCGUGGGGAGCAAACAGGAUUAGAUACCCGUGUAGUC